CCCUUAGAUGUCCUGGGCUGCACGCGCGCUACACUGAUGUGUCCAGUAAGCACCUAACCUCUUCCGAAAGGAACGGGUAACCUUUGCAAAGCACAUCGUGAUGGGGAUAGAUUAUUGCAAUUAUUAGUCUUGAACGAGGAAUUCCUAGUAAGCACAAGUCAUCAGCUUGUGUUGAUUACGUCCCUGCCCUUUGUACACACCGCCCGUCGCUCCUACCGAUUGAAUGUUCCGGUGAGCUCUUCGGACUGCGCGGUCUGCAGUUUCUGCGUUCCGUGCGGAAAGUUGCGCAAACCUUAACAUUUAGAGGAAGGAGAAGUCGAAACA
rnacentral:rRNA from 1 species